UACGUAGGGUGCAAGCGUUGUCCGGAAUUACUGGGCGUAAAGCGCACGUAGGCGGAUUGUUAAGUCGGGGGUGAAAUCCCGGGGCUCAACCCCGGAACUGCCUUCGAUACUGGCGAUCUCGAGUCCGGAAGAGGUUAGUGGAAUUCCCAGUGUAGAGGUGAAAUUCGUAGAUAUUGGGAAGAACACCAGUGGCGAAGGCGGCUAACUGGUCCGGUACUGACGCUGAGGUGCGAAAGCGUGGGGAGCAAACAGG
rnacentral:rRNA from 1 species